AGAGAAAAAACUUUUGGCCGGAAAGAACUAGACGCGCCGGCCCUCCUCCAGACUGCAGCCACCCCCAAACAACUUUCCCCAAAUCCCCCUCCACUGACCGCGCCGACCGCCCUAGAUCGACCCCGAGCACUACCGCCGGCGUCCCCCACAACCGCAGCCCUGCCGCCGGCGCCCCCACCACUGCAGCCCCGUCGCCACCCCUAGCUACCCCACUCCCGCCGGCCGCCCUAGAUCCCGAGUUCUGCAGCCGGCGUCCCGCACUAACACAGCCCCACCGCCGCCCCCAGCCCCCCACUGCCUGCAGCCCUCCACCUCGACGGACCGACCACUGCCGCCUUUGCCCCCAACCACCCCACACCAGCGCUGCCGAGCACGGAGCACCUCCACGGACGACCACUGUCGCCGAGCGACUCCACCGCAGAACUCCUCCCCAAGCAGGCCUCCUCCCUCAACCUGAGCAGGUGAGCACCGAGCGGGAUUGCCUCCUCGACGUCCUCUCCGACCCCCCAAGCAGCGGAGCGUCCCUCUUCUCCCGUGACCAGCUCACUACCACAUCAACAUCCUCUGUCUGCCUCCUCUGCCCCAUCAAGAGCAUUUGUGGCGGUGGGGAGGAUCCAAUUCACGAGGAUGUAGAGCCAGGCAGCAUUGAUCCCCUUCUAAAAGAAAAAGAAGCGUGAUGCGGAUGCUUUUCGACAAUUCAUAGCUGAUGAUAGCGGGGAGCUUUAUCCAGGGUGCACACAACCUUCUUAAAGCUACAUUUUGUUGUUAGGUUACUCCAUAUCAAAUCUCUUGGAGGAAAAAGAAUGGAACAAGAAAGAUACUAAGAUAAUUUUGAAGAACGAGAGGAAGAAUGGAACAAGAAAGAGACUAAGACAAUGUUCAAGAACGAGAGGAAGAGAGGCUACCGAGAAUUAGAACAACAAAUGGCCAGGAUUUUGAAUGGUUUGGCCGCCUUACAUUUUCAAAUAUAAAUGAAGAAUUUGGAGGCCCAGCUAGUCAGUGACAAACUAAAAGGAAGAAGAAGACAAUCAAAUGGUCAUCAAUUCUGUUUGCUUUACUUCGGUACAGGAAUAGCCUCACUACAAGAUAGCUGCAGAUUUCCCAAAGGUGAACAAGUUCACUAAGGUUUGGAAGAUUUUCAAGCUGAUGAAGAUUUGGAAGACCUACAAUGUCCUGCGUCUUGUUUGUUGAACCUAGACAUUUGCUCUGCUCAUUUUGGUGGUGGUUUGGCUGUGUGGCACACAUCUAGAAGCAUAUGUACAUCUUUUGUGGCACUACUUUAGUUUGGUUGUGGGGUAAACAUAUAUAUGUACUCCUUUCGUGGCACAACCUCUACAUAUAUUGUCGUUAUGUUUAUCAAAUGAAGUUUAAGGUUUUCGAUGA